GAUGAAGAACGCAGCGAAAUGCGAUAAGUAAUGUGAAUUGCAGAAUUCAGUGAAUCAUCGAGUCUUUGAACGCACAUUGCGCCCCCUGGUAUUCCGAGGGGCAUGCCUGUUCGAGCGUCAUUAUAACCCCUCAAGCUCAGCUUGGUGUUGGGGCCUGCUGCACUGGCAGCCCUUAAAAUCAGUGGCGGCGCCAUCUGGCUCUAAGCGUAGUAAUUCUUCUCGCUAUGGAGUCCUGGUGGAUGCUUGCCAUCAACCCCCAAUUUUUCUAUGGUUGACCUCGGAUCAGGUAGGGAUACCCGCUGAACUUAAGCAUAUCAAUAAGCGGAGGA
rnacentral:misc_RNA from 1 species